rnacentral:rRNA from 1 species
CGCUGGCGGCUGCCUAACACAUGCAAGUCGAACGAUAAGCACCUUCGGGUGGUGGACAGUGGCGCACGGGUGAGUAACGCGUGGGAACGUGCCUUUCGGUUCGGAAUAACCCAGGGAAACUUGGGCUAAUGCCGGAUACGCCCUUCGGGGGAAAGAUUUAUCGCCGAAAGAUCGGCCCGCGUCGGAUUAGCUUGUUGGUGGGGUAAAAGCCUACCAAGGCGACGAUCCGUAGCUGGUCUGAGAGGAUGAUCAGCCACACUGGGACUGAGACACGGCCCAGACUCCUACGGGAGGCAGCAGUGGGGAAUAUUGGACAAUGGGCGAAAGCCUGAUCCAGCCAUGCCGCGUGGGUGAAGAAAGCCCUAGGGUUGUAAACCCCUUUAGCGGGGAAGAAGCCGAAUU